GUAAUAAUUACAUUGUUUACUGACGCUGAUUGCAAUUGCAAGAGGUUUUAGUUUGUCCUAUUGGCGAGCAAGCCCGCCAAGGAAACAAAUAGUACGCAAAAGACAUGGGUAGAAUCAGAAAGGAAUCAACCAAUGAGCAGGGCAAGCCCCAAGCACUGAUCUAAUCCCCUGAUAGAAGGGUAAUGAUCCUUCCGCAGGUUCACCUACGGAAA
rnacentral:misc_RNA from 1 species